AAAUUGAAGAGUUUGAUCAUGGCUCAGAUUGAAUGCUGGCGGCAGGCCUAACACAUGCAAGUCGAACGGUAACAGGAAACAGCUUGCUGUUUCGCUGACGAGUGGCGGACGGGUGAGUAAUGUCUGGGAAACUGCC
rnacentral:rRNA from 1 species